UACGUAGGGUGCGAGCGUUAAUCGGAAUUACUGGGCGUAAAGCGUGCGCAGGCGGUUUUGUAAGACAGAUGUGAAAUCCCCGGGCUUAACCUGGGAACUGCGUUUGUGACUGCAAGACUCGAGUACGGCAGAGGGGGGUGGAAUUCCACGUGUAGCAGCGAAAUGCGUAGAGAUGUGGAGGAACACCGAUGGCGAAGGCAGCCCCCUGGGUCAAUACUGACGCUCAUGCACGAAAGCGUGGGGAGCAAACAGG
rnacentral:rRNA from 1 species